ACCAACUCUGCAAGGACAUGGGCUGGGAUCCUAAGAGGAAAAAGGGUCUUUGGGCUGAGUGGUUUGAACCAUACGGACCAAUGGAUUACACAGGCCCAAUAUAAGAUCAUCAUCCAACUUCCCCUUUCACGGGCUUUCUCUUUUGUUUUUACUUCUUCCUCGUCCUUGUUUUACAAGUGUGAUUUCUCAUUUCUUUUCUUCUCUCUUCAUUGCAAAUAAAUUCCACCCACCAAAGACAG
rnacentral:misc_RNA from 1 species